AGCGGUACCCGGCAAUACCUGCAAAACACACAGGAGUGGGCACGGCGCCGUGCUGUGCCUGCCUUCUUGUCUGCGGCGGAGGGUGAAGGUCCUCGCGUCCGCGUCGCCAACAGUUCUCGCGAACACGCGCCAAGAGGUGCUACGGCUCACCAGAAACAUUUCCGCUCUUUUCUGGGACGCUCCAGGUUCUCUGGAGGGGUCCCUGCGGUUGGAAGAGGGCCGGGACGCGAAGUGCUGUGAGUGCAAUCUGCGAGCAGUGUGAGGGGUUCGCCUUUCCUCGUUUCGCGUUGUGACUUGAUGAGGACUAUACACCGCU
rnacentral:ncRNA from 2 species